GACGAACGCUGGCGGCGUGCUUAACACAUGCAAGUCGAACGGAAAGGCCCUGCUUUUGUGGGGUGCUCGAGUGGCGAACGGGUGAGUAACACGUGAGUAACCUGCCCUUGACUUUGGGAUAACUUCAGGAAACUGGGGCUAAUACCGGAUAGGAGCUCCUGCUGCAUGGUGGGGGUUGGAAAGUUUCGGCGGUUGGGGAUGGACUCGCGGCUUAUCAGCUUGUUGGUGGGGUAGUGGCUUACCAAGGCUUUGACGGGUACGCGGCCUGAGAGGGUGACCGGCCACAUUGGGACUGAGAUACGGCCCAGACUCCUACGGGAGGCAGCAGUGGGGAAUAUUGCACAAUGGGCGGAAGCCUGAUGCAGCAACGCCGCGUGCGGGAUGACGGCCUUCGGGUUGUAAACCGCUUUCGCCUGUGACGAAGCGUGAGUGACGGUAAUGGGUAAAGAAGCACCGGCUAACUACGUG
rnacentral:rRNA from 1 species